rnacentral:rRNA from 1 species
UAACAGAGAGAAGCUUGCUUCUUUGCUGACGAGCGGCGGACGGGUGAGUAAUACUUGGGAACUUGCCUCUAGGCGGGGGACAACCACUGGAAACGGUGGCUAAUACCGCAUAAUGUCUACGGACCAAAGUGGGGGACCUUCGGGCCUCACACCUAGAGAUGGGCCCAAGCGGGAUUAGCUAGUUGGUGAGGUAAAGGCUCACCAAGGCGACGAUCCCUAGCUGUUCUGAGAGGAUGAUCAGCCACACUGGGACUGAGACACGGCCCAGACUCCUACGGGAGGCAGCAGUGGGGAAUAUUGCACAAUGGGCGCAAGCCUGAUGCAGCCAUGCCGCGUGUGUGAAGAAGGCCUUCGGGUUGUAAAGCACUUUCAGUGGUGAGGAAGGUCAGUAAGUUAAUAGCUUGCUGAAUUGACGUUAGCCACAGAAGAAGCACCGGCUAACUCCGUGCCAGCAGCCGCGGUAAUACGGAGGGUGCAAGCGUUAAUCGGAAUUACUGGGCGUAAAGCGUACGUAGGCGGUGUGUUAAGCAAGAUGUGAAAGCCCCGGGCUCAACCUGGGAAUUGCAUUUUGAACUGGCACGCUAGAGUCCUGAAGAGGGUGGUAGAAUUUCCAGUGUAGCGGUGAAAUGCGUAGAUAUUGGAAGGAAUACCAGUGGCGAAGGCGGCCACCUGGUCAGAGACUGACGCUGAGGUACGAAAGCGUGGGGAGC